rnacentral:siRNA from 1 species
GAUAACAUAUGGUCAUUCUUACU